GUUUCCGUGGUGUAGUUGGCUAUCACAUCAGUCUAACACACUGAAGGUCUCCGGUUCGAGCCCGGACGGAAACA
rnacentral:tRNA from 1 species